AGUGAACGCUGGCGGUAGGCCUAACACAUGCAAGUCGAACGGCAGCACAGUAAGAGCUUGCUCUUACGGGUGGCGAGUGGCGGACGGGUGAGGAAUACAUCGGAAUCUACUUUUUCGUGGGGGAUAACGUAGGGAAACUUACGCUAAUACCGCAUACGACCUACGGGUGAAAGCAGGGGAUCUUCGGACCUUGCGCGAUUGAAUGAGCCGAUGUCGGAUUAGCUAGUUGGCGGGGUAAAGGCCCACCAAGGCGACGAUCCGUAGCUGGUCUGAGAGGAUGAUCAGCCACACUGGAACUGAGACACAGUCCAGACUCCUACGGGAGGCAGCAGUGGGGAAUAUUGGACAAUGGGCGCAAGCCUGAUCCAGCCAUACCGCGUGGGUGAAGAAGGCCUUCGGGUUGUAAAGCCCUUUUGUUGGGAAAGAAAAGCAGCAGGUUAAUACCCCGCCGUUCUGACGGUACCCAAAGAAUAAGCACCGGCUAACUUCGUG
rnacentral:rRNA from 1 species